UGCAGUCGUACGAGAGUUUUUACUCAAGUGGCGGACGGGUGAGUAACACGUGAGAAUUUGCCUUCAGGAGGGGGACAACAGUUGGAAACGACUGCUAAUACCCCAUAUGCUUUCGAGUGAAAUGGAUUUUCCGCCUGAAGAGAAGCUUGCGGCUGAUUAGCUUGUUGGUGGGGUAAUGGCUCACCAAGGCGACGAUCAGUAUCUGGUUUGAGAGGACGAUCAGACACACUGGAACUGAGACACGGUCCAGACUCCUACGGGAGGCAGCAGUGGGGAAUUUUCCGCAAUGGGCGAAAGCCUGACGGAGCAAUACCGCGUGAGGGAUGACGGCCUAUGGGUUGUAAACCUCUUUUUUCAGGGAGGAAUCCAUGACGGUACCUGAAGAAUAAGCAUCGGCUAACUCCGUGCCAGCAGCCGCGGUAAUACG
rnacentral:rRNA from 1 species